rnacentral:rRNA from 1 species
UACAGAGGGUGCGAGCGUUAAUCGGAAUUACUGGGCGUAAAGCGCGCGUAGGCGGCUUUUCAAGUCGAUUGUGAAAUCCCCGGGCUUAACCUGGGAACUGCAGUCGAGACUGUCUAGCUAGAGUAUGGGAGAGGGAAGUGGAAUUUCAGGUGUAGCGGUGAAAUGCGUAGAUAUCUGAAGGAACAUCAGUGGCGAAAGCGACUUCCUGGACCAAUACUGACGCUGAGGAGCGAAAGCGUGGGGAGCGAACAGG